AGCAGCCGCGGUAAUUCCAGCUCCAAUAGCGUAUAUUAAAGUUGUUGCAGUUAAAAAGCUCGUAGUUGAAUUUCGGGAUUGACACAUCGGUCGUGCCUUAAGGGGUGUGAACUGGUGUAGUCAAUUUCUCACCUUCUGGAGAACCGCGAUGUCCUUAAUUGGGUGCCUCGAGGAACCAGGACCUUUACUUUGAAAAAAUUAGAGUGUUUAAAGCAGGCAUUUUUGCUUGAAUACAUUAGCAUGGAAUAAUAAAAUAGGACGGCAUGAUUCUAUUUUGUUGGUUUCUAGGAUCACCGUAAUGAUUAAUAGGGAUAGUUGGGGGCAUUAGUAUUCAAUUGUCAGAGGUGAAAUUCUUGGAUUUAUUGAAGACUAACUACUGCGAAAGCAUUUGCCAAGGAUGUUUCCAUUAAUCAAGAACGAAAGUUAGGGGAUCGAAGACGAUCAGAUACCGUCGUAGUCUUAACCAUAAACUAUGCCGACUAGGAAUCAGACGAUGUUAAUUUUUUAAUGACUCGUUUGG
rnacentral:rRNA from 1 species